rnacentral:rRNA from 1 species
AUUGAACGCUGGCGGCAUGCUUUACACAUGCAAGUCGAACGGCAGCGCGGGCUUCGGCCUGGCGGCGAGUGGCGAACGGGUGAGUAAUACAUCGGAACGUGCCCAGUAGUGGGGGAUAGCUCGGCGAAAGCCGGAUUAAUACCGCAUACGACCUGAGGGUGAAAGCGGGGGAUCUUCGGACCUCGCGCUAUUGGAGCGGCCGAUGGCAGAUUGGCUAGUUGGUGGGGUAAAGGCCUACCAAGGCGACGAUCUGUAGCUGGUCUGAGAGGACGACCAGCUACACUGGGACUGAGACACGGCCCAGACUCCUACGGGAGGCAGCAGUGGGGAAUUUUGGACAAUGGGCGAAAGCCUGAUCCAGCAAUGCCGCGUGUGUGAUGAAGGCCUUCGGGUUGUAAAGCACUUUUGGCGGGAACGAAAAGGACUGUGCCAAUACCACGGUCCGAUGACGGUACCCGCAGAAUAAGCACCGGCUAACUACGU